GUCAAGGGAAGAAAAAAAAAGCACAUGGGCAAUGUGAGUCAGCAUAAACAAGUCAAUGACACACGUGGGGGCUGAUGAAUGGACGCUGGAUUGAAUUCAAAAUGAAUAUAACGCGCGCCACCAAGGGAAAUGAACUCAGGUCAAAUCUUCAUCUGAACCGCCGUAGACCACCGUGCCGGAAAUUGCUUUUGGCGGCGGUGGUCACCAGAAAUCAACAUCAAACACACCAUUAGAACCGUCUUGGUCUCCUUUCCACUAACCUGCAACCAAAUUUCUCAGAUUCUAACCCUAACUCCAAAACCGCAUAGAUCCAAGAACCCUAAAACCCAAUUCACUAAUUAAACUUCAAACAUGAGGAAUCAAAGCCCCCGGGAUUAGGGAUUUGCUCCUUCUCUCCUAAUUCUACAUCCUCACAAUAAAGGCAAGCAAUGAAUUCAAGCGAACACUAACCUCUAUAGUGGAGUAUUAUCAGCGCCGAAAACGAACGACAAGAAAAUACCAGAGACAACUUCAAGUCAUGAAGGAGUUUCAAUUGGAGCUGAAAUUUUUUACAAGUUCCAGACUUCAGAUAAUUGAAGUGCAGCCCUGCUGUGGUCCUGAAUGCUAUUUAUUGAGAUAAUUGGGUUACUCUGUUAUGAGGAUGAGAAAACCAAAAUGUCUUUAUUCUUGAAGUAAACAUAAGCACAUGGCAAAAUUCCAAGGAUAUGUGGAAGAGAAGUGGAUCAUGGAAGAGCGAAAUAAGGACUAGGGUUUAGAAUGUAAAAUAGUGGUCAUUUGACUUUGGUCAACUGCUUGACCAAAGUCAACACUUGGUCAUAGUUUCCAAAUUUUGGCAUUUUCCCAUGUAAUGAACAUUGUAAUGGAUUGAAUGAAUGUAAUUUGUUUUGUUUGAAUGAAAUUGAAUUGGUUUUAAAAUGAA